AACGCACCUUGCGCUCCCUGGUAUUCCGGGGAGCACGCCUGUUCGAGUAUCGUGAAAUCCUCAAGCCAGACAGGCUUUGUUGACUGUCUUGGUUUGGAUGUGGACUCUGCCGUUGGUGCAAACCGACGGCUGGUCUUAAAUGUGUUAGCUGAAUCUUGGUUCAAAAGGGUUCUACUCGGCGUGAUAAUUAUCUUAUCGCUGAGGACAUUUCCUUCGGGGAAUGGCCCGUUCUUGGCCUCGAGUCGCUUCUAAUCUGCUGGUAAAAUCCGGGACUUUACCGUCUCGGGUUUUCCGCGACCUUUCAAUCUUUGAUCUCGAAUCAGGUGGGACUACCCGCUGAACUUAA
rnacentral:misc_RNA from 1 species